CCCCUGCAGGGGGGCAGCGUCUUCAGCAUCAUCACCCGGGUGGAAGUGACCCCUUCGCAGACCCAAAAGACCUGCCCGGAGAACCCGAGGGCCUCCUGCGCGUCUGACCACGAAUGUGCCACCGGUGAGGUGGGGGUGCUGGGAAACGGAAUGAAGACGGGGCAUUGCGUCCCCUACAACAUCACCAAGAAAACCUGUCAGGUGAUGGCCUGGUGUCCUGUGGAGGAG